rnacentral:rRNA from 1 species
UGGGGAAUCUUGCACAAUGGGCGAAAGCCUGAUGCAGCAACGCCGCGUGAGUGAAGAAGGUCCUUGGAUUGUAAAGCUCUUUCGGCUGGGGAGAAGGGUCUAAGUUCUAACAGGGCUUAGAUUUGACGGUACCAGAAGAAGAAGCACCGGCUAAUUCCGUGCCAGCAGCCGCGGUAAUACGGAAGGUGCAAGCGUUGUUCGGAAUGACUGGGCGUAAAGCGCACGUAGGUGGGUUUGUAUGUCGGACGUGAAAGCCCUGGGCUUAACCCGGGAACUGCGUCCGAAACUGCAAAUCUUGAAUGCCCAAGAGGUUGGUAGAAUUCCUGGUGUAGGAGUGAAAUCCGUAGAUAUCAGGAGGAAUACCAGAGGCGAAGGCGGCCAACUGGUGGUGCAUUGACACUGAGGUGCGAAAGCGUGGGGAGCAAACAG